GACCUAUGCAACAAAAGCCGCCGCUCAGUCCGAGCGCUCAGCGGACAAAAACACGGAGCCUGCGGCUGACACAACCCGGCGAGGUACGACUUCAGGGCUUAAGAUUGCAGCCUGGACCAAACAACGUCUCAGCGACAUUUAUGAAGCUUUCAAGGCCUUUUGAUUGAUCAGCCAAUCGAUGGGGAUUUUCAGAGGAGCUCCGCCCACCGUCGCUGCCUGCCCUCCUCCUCCUCCUCCCCCCUGCCCCCGUGCCCCCACCCACUCCGUCAUCCAGCCUUCCAUCCAGCCCUCUAUA